rnacentral:rRNA from 1 species
AUUGCACGCUGGCGGCAGGCCUAACCCAUGCAAGUCGAACGAGGGGCGGACGGGUGAGUAAUGUCUGGGAAACUGCCUGAUGGAGGGGGAUAACUACUGGAAACGGUAGCUAAUACCGCAUACCAUCGGAUGUGCCCAGAUGGGAUUAGCUAGUAGGUGGGUUAAAGGCUCACCUAGGCGACGAUCCCUAGCUGGUCUGAGAGUAUGACCAGCCAGACUGGAACUGAGACACGGUCCAGACGCCUACGGGAGGCAGCAGUGGGGAAUAUUGCACAAUGGGCGCAAGCCGGAUGCAGCCAUGCGGCGUGUAUGAAGAAGGCCUUCGGGUUGUAAAGUACUUGCAGCGGGGAGGCGUUAGCCGCAGAAGAAGCACCGGCUAACUCCGUGCCAGCAGCCGCGGUAAUUC